rnacentral:tRNA from 1 species
UGUGGGGUAGCCAAGUGGCAAGGCGCCUGGCUGUUAACCAGUUGAUGCGCAGGUUCGAAUCCUGCCCCCACAGCCA